GAUGAACGCUGGCGGCGUGCUUAACACAUGCAAGUCGAACGGGAUCCCUGGCGGCCUGGCCGUCGGGGUGAGAGUGGCGAACGGGUGAGUAAUACGUGACCAACCUGCCUCAUGCACCGGAAUAGCUCCUGGAAACGGGUGGUAAUACCGGAUGCUCCGCCUUACCGCAUGGUGGGGUGGGAAAUGCUUUUUUGCGGCAUGGGUUGGGGUCGUGUCCUAUCAGCUUGUUGGCGGGGUGAUGGCCCACCAAGGCGUUGACGGGUAGCCGGCCUGAGAGGGUGACCGGCCACAUUGGGACUGAGAUACGGCCCAGACUCCUACGGGAGGCAGCAGUGGGGAAUAUUGCACAAUGGGCGCAAGCCUGAUGCAGCGACGCCGCGUGCGGGAUGGAGGCCUUCGGGUUGUAAACCGCUUUUGUUCAAGGGCAAGGCACGGCUUUGGGCCGUGUUGAGUGGAUUGUUCGAAUAAGCACCGGCUAACUACGUGCCAGCAGCCGCGGUAA
rnacentral:rRNA from 1 species